AUGUGCGCUCUGGAUCUGGAAAGCGAGCCUGCUCUACUGAGCAGUGGCCGGGCUGUGCCUGAAGACUGGCGGUCCGUCAUCGGCAUCCGAGGGCAACCUUGCCAAACGUCUAAUUUCUGUUUCGUUGUUUUUAGUCCUGCAAAAAAUGAUACUGCCAUUUUUCAGAAGUGUGAGUUAAAGAAUACUAAGACCCUUUCUCCCUCCUCCUCUCUUUUUCUUUUCCUUUUCCUUUCCUUUUUCUUCUUUCUCUUCUUUUCUUUCUUUCUUUCUUUCUUUCUUUCUUUCUUUCUUUCCUUUCUUUCUUUCCUUUUUCUUCUUUUUCUUUCUUCCUUUUCUUUCUUUUCUUUUCUUUUUCUUUUCUUUUCUUUUCUUCUUUUUCUUUCUUCCUUUUCUUUCUUUCUCUUUUCUUUCUUUCUUUUCUUCCUUUUCUUUUCUUUUCUUUUCUUUUUCUUUCUUUCUUUUCUUUUCUUUUCUUUCUUUCUUCUUCUUUCUUUCCUUUCUUUCUUUCUUCUUUCUUUCUUUCCUUUCUUUCUCUUUUCUUUUCUUUUCUUUUCUUCUUUCUUUCUUUCUUUUCUUCCUUUUCUUUUCUUUUCCUUUUUCUUCUUUCUUUCUCUUUUCUUUUCUUUUCUUUCUUUUCUUCCUUUCUUCUUUCUUUCUUUUCUUUUCUUUCCUUUCUUUCUUCUUUCUUUCUUUUCUUUUCUUUUUCUUUCUUUCUUCUUUCUUUCUUUCUUUUCUUCCUUUUCUUUCUUUUCUUUUCUUUCUUUCUUUCCUUUUUCUCUUUUUCUCUUUUCUUUCUUCUUCUUUUUCUUUUCUUUCUCUCUCCCUUUCUUUUCUUUUCUUUCUUUCUUCUUCUUUCUUUCUUUCUUUUCUUUUCUUUCUUUCUUCUUUCUUUUCUUCCUUUUCUUUCUUUCUUUCUUCUUUCUUUCUUUCUUUCUUUCUUUCCUUUUUCUCUUUCCUUUCUUUCUCUUUUCUUUUCUUUCUUUCUUUCUUUCCUUUCUUUUCUUUUCCUUUUUCUUCUUUCUUUCUCUUUUCUUUCUUUUCUUUCUUUCUUCC
rnacentral:lncRNA from 1 species